GAAAGAAAGAAAGGAAAGAAAAAGAAGGAAAGCAAGCAAGGAAGCAAGUAGCCAAAGCCCUGGGAACCCAUCGAGGAAUGGCCCCGGAGGCAGAGUUACCCUCAGCUCUGAUGGAAAGCCUUGCUCCAAUCUGAAUUCUGGUCUUCCAAGAAAAAUCACAAGCAAUGACAGGCUCUUUAAUAUGGGUUCCAGCCACAGGCCAGAGAUCAAACGUCGCUGAACCAGUGUGAGGAAAAGAAUGGCAGGCAGACGUCUUCUUUUUCCGCACACAGACUGUAAUCAGCUCUCCACAAGGUCAUCCCAGAACACCAAGGACAGUCCAGAUACCUCCAGGCUCUCCUCAGUAAUGGACGGAAGCAGUGGUGCAGAUAAUCUGCCCAAAUGGCGGGCUCCAGUUCUCCCUGGAUUCCAGGAACACCAUCUCCUUCCUCGUCCCUUCCAUCCCAGGGAAGGUUUACACUGAAAAUUUUUUGUGAUGAAAAGAUUUGAAGAAGAUGACAGGAGAUGGAGAAGCACCAGCUGAUCUGCAGACUCCAAGGAGGUCCCAGGAAGAGGUAUAAAGGAAGGAAUCUGAGACAUGGUUCUUCCUCCCUGUGGGUACCAUCCCUUCCUGUGGCAGCUCUCCUGUUCUCUAAGCACCUCGAUCCCCCCAACCCCACUCAUUUAUAUGGACCUGGCACUCAGAUCUUUCACCCGUAUAAUGCCACUCCAGGCUCUGCCUCUUGGGUAGUGUCCUAUGUCCUAGAAUAUUCCCAGAUGAGAAUGGGACCCCUUAGGUAGAGCUGUGUGCUCUGCCUCACCUAAUCCAGCUGGCAACCCCCAUAGGUGUCAUCCACUAAGAUCUUCUGGGACAGGAAAGCCCUGUGAUACCUCUU
rnacentral:lncRNA from 10 species